rnacentral:rRNA from 1 species
ACGUUAUUCGGAAUCACUGGGCUUAAAGGGUGUGUAGGCGGCUGAUUAAGUCAGGUGUGAAAUCUCUCGGCUCAACCGGGAAACUGCGCUUGAUACUGGUCGGCUCGAGUGAGGUAGGGGUGUGUGGAACUUCCGGUGGAGCGGUGAAAUGUGUAGAUAUCGGAAGGAACGCCAGCAGCGAAAGCGGCACACUGGGCCUUUUCUGACGCUGAGACACGAAAGCCAG